rnacentral:rRNA from 1 species
UCAUAACCGUAAACGAUUCAAACUAGGCGCCCGUCGGCGUUUUCAUUGACCCGACGCACGCCUUACCGGAAACGAAAGUGUUCGUGUUCCGGGGGAAAUAUGUCUGCAAAGAGGAAACUUAAAGGAAUUGACGGAAGGGCACCACCAGGGGUGGAGCCUGCGGCUUAAUUUGACUCAACACGGGGAAACUCACCCGGCCCGGACACCGUAAGGAUUGACAGAUUGAGAGCUCUUUCUUGAUUCGGUGGGUGGUGGUGCAUGGCCGUUCUUAGUUGGUGGAGUGAUUUGUCUGGUUUAUUCCGAUAACGAACGAGACUCUGGCCUGCUAACUAGUGACUGAAUCUUCAUUGUUCACGUCGCUUCUUAGAGGGACAAACGGCGCUUAGUCGUAUGAAAAAGAGCAAUAACAGGUCUGUGAUGCCCUUAGAUGUCCGGGGCUGCACGCGCGCUACACUGAAAGAAUCAGCGUGUAUACUUUUCCUGGUUCGACAGAACUGGGUAAUCCGGUGAAAAUCUUUCGUGAUUGGGAUCGGGACUUGCAAUUAUUUCCCUUCAACGAGGAAUCCCUAGUAAGUGCGGGUCAUCAGCUCGCGCUG